GUUGUUAUGAGACUUUCCUGAUGAAUUUAGUAGAAAGUGAGCUGACACACAGAAUUUAUAGACUAAAAGACAUUUUUAAGUUAUCUAGGUUAUCUAAAAUGUCUAGAGACUCAUUGACAGGAUUGGUGGUAAAAAAAAUACAGUUAUUUGAUAACCAUUACUAUACAUUAAUCAAAAAGCAGAAAAUGUAAUAUGCAAUGAACUUGUUUCAAUAUUAUAGGACCUCUAUAAUUAAAAAAAAAAUGGGCAAAAACGAAGAGAGUCUACCCAAGUUGGCAAUAUUUGCAUUAUUAUGCUGAGAGAAAUAUGUGCACAAUAUAUUAUAAAAUAAAUGAGUACAUAUGACAAAUUCUAUUUCCAUAUUUCCGGGCACCCUUGAAUGCCAGAAUUCUAGAUAUGAGAUCAUGGCAGAGAUGUAAUAGAGAAGAUAGUUUACAUAAAAACCCUGUAGUGCUGAAUUGACAUUGGAAUGCACAGCAUGAAUUAGUGAGAUUUGUUUUCUAUAUCUCUCUUAUCUAGCUAGCUACCUACCUAUCUAGUUUGCUUGCCUAGUUCUCUCUGCAUAAAAUCAGUGGUCAUCCCAGUAGCACUCUAAUACCUGGACCAUAAAUUGAAAUACCUUUUCCCACUGUAUUUGUCUUCUAGGUUGCCAUAACACUCCACCAUGGUGGCUUAGACCAAAGAAAUGCAUUUCUUUUACAAUAGUGCAGGAAGAAAGUCCCAGAACAAAGUAGCAGGUAAUUUGGUUUCUGGUGAAGGCUCACUUCUUUGCUUGAAGAAAACCACCAUCUCACAGUUCCCCUGUAGGGCCUUUCAGAAAAAACAAAGACUCUGCUGUUUCCUCCUCUUCUCUGAAAGAUAUGGUAUCAUAUCCUAUGGUAUCAGGACCCCAGCAUUAUGACCCAAUUUAAAAUUAGUUCACUCCUUAGUGGUUCUAUCUCCAAAUGCAAUUAUGUUGGGAUAAGGGUUCCACAUAUGAAGUUUGUGUGGACAUAAUUCAGUAUACAACAAAACUACUACCCCCCCAAAAAAAUGUUGGAUGAACCCACACUGGGGUGGGAAAUAUUAAAUACGAUCCUUAAAAAUUGUCAUACCAAAUAGCAUGGAAAUUAUCAAAGAUCAUUAAUUAUUAAUAGGAUUGUGACAAAGGGACUUGAGAAUCUUUUUUUUCAUGUUUUAUUGGCACAUUAUAAUUAUACAUAAUAGUGGGGUUCAUAAUAUUAUAUUCAUAUGUACUCAUAACAAUUCGAUCAAUCUCAUUCCCCAGUACCUUCAUGAGCCAAUGUUAAGAAGCUUCCAUUGUCAAAGAUGUGGAAAUUCAAUCAUCAUAAAAGGUAAUAAUUACAACAGACUGAAACCUAUCAAAUAUUUUUAAAUAUAUUGGUUCAUAUUUAUAUUAAAACCAAAAUAAUUGGUCACUUUAAGAGAAUGGUAAAAACAUACUAUCAAAUAGUUAAAGAAUAAAAUAUUUAUUCUGUCUCCUAGGCACCCUCAAGAUUCUACAUAUGAAUGAUUCUACUACAUGUGUAAAAAAGAACACCUCUUUUAAAAUGUAUUCUAGAUAAUACAGAAAAAGAAGUAAAAGGAUUAUAACAGCUCACCUCUUGCAAUUGCCCAAUCAAUGAAUAAAUCUAGGCAUCAAGCAUUUGUGAUUGGUAACUUCGCAAAAAGACAAUCAAACUCUGCAUGUCCUUUAUCACAAGUACAAAGUCACAUUUUUUUCUCUUGCCAAAGGGAUCAAACUUGAGUCUCAUCAAGGCUCUGAAUCCCUCUGCCAAUUGAUUUUGAGGGAAUUUAGAGGACAUGGGAGCAUGAACACUGCACCGUGAUGUGUAAUCUACAAAAUCCAGGCUGUGGGAACCUCUGUUACUGCACUAACUAUGUCACUUAAGGAAAGACACACAGAGAGAAUUUAUAGACUAAAAGACAUUUUUAAGUUAUCUAGGUUAAAUUGGAAUUAAAUUAUAGUCUACAGGAUGCCUCUUCAAAUGAUGAAACUAGAAAUGAAUGCAAAGGUGUGAUUCUUAGCAGUCAGAAGGGAUAUUGGUAGUGUGUUAGAACAGAAACCCAAAUUGGAAUAGGAUGUGCAGAGGAUUCUGGUGUGGCUAACCAAGUUCUAUUUCUUGACCAGGAUUAAAAUUACAA
rnacentral:lncRNA from 1 species